ACAUGAUAGGCUCAGUCGGUUAAGUUUCUGACUUUGGCUCAGGUCAUAAUCUCAUGGUUUGUGGGUUCGAGCCCCACAUCGGGCU
rnacentral:tRNA from 1 species